CCUACGGGAGGCAGCAGUGGGGAAUAUUGGGCAAUGGGCGCAAGCCUGACCCAGCAACGCCGCGUGAAGGAAGAAGGCUUUCGGGUUGUAAACUUCUUUUGUCAGGGACGAAGCAAGUGACGGUACCUGACGAAUAAGCCACGGCUAACUACGUGCCAGCAGCCGCGGUAAUACGUAGGUGGCAAGCGUUAUCCGGAUUUACUGGGUGUAAAGGGCGUGUAGGCGGGACUGCAAGUCAGAUGUGAAAACCACGGGCACAACCUGUGGCCUGCAUUUGAAACUGUAGUUCUGGAGUACGGGAGAGGAAGACGGAAGUCCUGGUGUAGCGGGGAAAUGCGGAGAUAUAAGGAGGAACACCAGGGGCGAGGGAGGUCGGCUGGACAGCAACUGACGCUGAGGCGCGAAAGCGUGGGGAGCAAAAAGGAUUAGAUACCCGAGUAGUA
rnacentral:rRNA from 1 species